GCACUUUUCCGGUGCCUUCGGAUCUUCCGGGGCCGCAAGGGCAGGGCCAAGACCGACGCGCCGCGGGGCUGCGACUGCGGGUGCCGCCGGCGCCUCCCCCGCCCGCGCUUCAGCAGCGCCGCACCGUUGCCAUUCGAGUGUGAUGCCCAAGGUGCCAAAUCCCUGGCUCCAGAGUCCCGUCGUAGGAAUCCCCGUACAGAAAAACCGCUCACCGUAUUUCAGGGAUCUACGGACUGCCCGGGAAAAAAGGAUCGAAAGAGGACCCUUUGGAGAUGACCCGGUUUUAGAGCCGAGCAAAUUCUUCAAAGAAGAUUUUCUUUCCACAUCAAGUCUUCUUUCCUUUCGGAGAAUACAGCUCCUGUCUAGGCUGGAUGGCUCCUCUUCUUCUCCUUGACACCCGCAGCAGCAGACAGGGCACAUCGUGUCUCUUCCAUUGAUACUGAACAAUGUUCUCACUGUGUUUACAAAGAUAAACUACUUAUCAAUCAACUUU
rnacentral:lncRNA from 1 species